GACGUAGGUGGCGAACGUUAUCCGGAAUUAUUGGGCGUAAAGGGUGCGUAGGCGGCAUGAUAAGUUAUUGGCGGCAAAUCGAGGCUCAACCUCGUGGAAAACUGAUAAUACUGUCUUGCUUGAGUGCAGAAGAGGUUAACGGAACUCCAUGUGGAGCGGUAAAAUGUGUAGAUAUAUGGAAGAACAUCAAUAACGGCGAAGGCAGUUAACUAUUCUGUUACUGACGUUGAGGCACGAAAGCGUGGGGAGCAAAACGG
rnacentral:rRNA from 1 species